GAGAUUCCCCUAGUANCGGCGAGCGAACGGGGAAGAGUCCAACUCUUAAUCCGACGUCUUCACGGGCGUUCCGGAAAUUUGGAGUAUGGGAGAGACGCUUCCGGGCACCGUCUCCGGUGCAAGUCCCCCUGACUGGGGCUCCCACCCCUAGAGGGUGCAAGGCCCGUAGCGGCCGGAAGGCGGUCCCGGAUGUUCUCUCCCGAGAGUCGGGUUGCUUGAGAGUGCAGCCCUAAGCAGGUGGUAAACUCCAUCUAAGACUAAAUACGACCCCGAGACCGAUAGCGAACAAGUACCGUGAGGGAAAGUUGAAAAGGACUUUGAAGAGAGAGUUCAAGAGUACGUGAAACCGUUCGGAGGUAAACGAGUGGGCCCUCGAAGGAAGGCGGCGGGGGGACUCAGCCGCAGGCGCCCGGGUGGCUCCCGCGAUUCGCUUCCCCAACAGGACGAGUCGCGGGUGGCAGGCAAGUCCCGGGGCAGACGGCGCAUUUCCCCCCGUCCUCUGACGCUGCGACCGGUCGGGUGCGCUACGAGCAGUCGGCCAGACUCGCGGGGACCGGUAGUUCGCAGGCGCGUCGCUCCGGCGGCGCGUCGGCGCAGCCGCCCCGCAAUCGCGGCCGUUCACCCGACCGCAGGACACGGCCCUCCGGGGCCCCGCCGCGUCCUCCCUGGGUGGGAGCGAUCUCAGUCCGUCGGCAGGGAUGCCGCCGUCUCCGUCGUUUCACCGGGGGGUGUCCGGCGGAGGGCGCGCGCCCGUUGGUCGGCGGAAUGGCGCAGGGACGCAGGCGGUCCGCAGCGAGUAGGUCGGUCACCCACUCGACCCGUCUUGAAACACGGACCAAGGAGUUCAACAUGUACGCGAGUCAUUGGGUCUUGUUCAGGCCCAAAGGCGCAAUGAAAGUGAAGGUCGGCACUCGCCGUCCGAGUUGGGAUCCCCGGUUUAAGGCCGGGGCGCACCAACGGCUCGUCCAGGCCGCCUCGUCGGCCGGGCGAAGCUCGAGCGUACACGUUGAGACCCGAAAGAUGGUGAACUAUGGCUGGGCAGGACGAAGCCAGAGGAAACUCUGGUGGAGGUCCGCAGCGGUUCUGACGUGCAAAUCGAUCGUCAGACCUGGCUAUAGGGGCGA
rnacentral:rRNA from 1 species